rnacentral:pre_miRNA from 1 species
AAAAAAGCAAACCCUGGAUUUCCGUGUCCAACUUUAACUGUCCGUCUUAUAUGAAAUUUUUUUAUAAUUCGUAUUUUUAUUGUUGUUAGAUGAUAAAAUAUGAUUAAUAUUUUAUACGUGACUUGUGUUUUUAAUUUUUUUCAUAAAUUUUUUAAAUAAGACGGACGGUCAAAUGUUAGAAACGAAAACUC